rnacentral:SRP_RNA from 1 species
AGAGGCUGGUGGUGGACGGAUUCCUCGCCAACCCGGUCAGGUCCGGAAGGAAGCAGCCGUAACGAGUUUUGAUUCGGGUCGCUGUCAGUCUCUCAC